UACGGAAGGGGCAAGCGUUGUUCGGAAUCAUUGGGCGUAAAGGGCGCGUAGGUGGUUCUGUAUGUCUACCGUGAAAGCGUACGGCUCAACCGUAUUUUGUCGGUGGAAACUGCAGGACUUGCGGCUGGGAGGGGCUGGUGGAAUUCCCUGUGUAGCGGUGAAAUGCGUAGAGAUGGGGGAGAACACUCGUGGCGAAGGCGGCCAGCUAGACCAGUUCUGACACUGAGGCGCGACAGCGUGGGGAGCAAACAGG
rnacentral:rRNA from 1 species